UUCUAGCCCCGAUAGCAGUGGAAAUCCCUUUAUUUUUUUUAGAAAAAAUAAAAGAUUACAACGAAAAGCGGGACGAGGU
rnacentral:sRNA from 1 species